rnacentral:rRNA from 1 species
GACAGAGGAGCCAAGCGUUGUCCGGAUUGACUGGGCGUAAAGCGCACGCGGGCGGCCUGGCGCGUGGGGUGUGAAAGGUAGCGGCUUAACUGCUACACGCCAUCCCAUACGGCCGGGCUCGAGCCAUGCAGAGGUCCACGGAAUUGCCGGUGUAGUGGUGAAAUGCGUAGAGAUCGGCAGGAACACCCAGGGGAAACCGAGUGGACU